rnacentral:rRNA from 1 species
GCUUACGGCCAUACCACGUUGAAAGCACGCCGUCCCGUCUGAUCUAGCAAGUUAAGCAACGUUGGGCCUGGUUAGUACUUGGAUCGGAGACGGCUUGGGAAACCCAUGUGUCGUAAGCA